ensembl:snRNA U6 U6 spliceosomal RNA
GGGCUUAUUUCAGUAGCACAUGCACUAGAAUUGGAAUCAUACAGAGAGGAUUAGCAUGGUCCUGCACAAGGAUGGCAUACAAACUCAUGAAGUGUUCUUAACAGAA